GGCCAUGUAGCUUAAUGGUAAAGCGCAUUUUUUAAUGAUAUGGGAGGUUCGAUUCCCCCCAUGGUAA
rnacentral:tRNA from 2 species